UACGGAGGAUGCAAGCGUUAUCCGGAAUGAUUGGGCGUAAAGCGUCCGCAGGUGGCUGUGUAAGUCUGCUGUCAAAGAGCGAAGCUCAACUUCGUAAAGGCAGUGGAAACUACACGGCUAGAGUGCGUUCGGGGCAGAGGGAAUUCCUGGUGUAGCGGUGAAAUGCGUAGAGAUCAGGAAGAACACCGGUGGUGAAGGCGCUCUGCUAGGCCGCAACUGACACUGAGGGACGAAAGCUAGGGGAGCGAAUGGG
rnacentral:rRNA from 1 species